UACAGAGGUCCCAAGCGUUGUUCGGAUUCACUGGGCGUAAAGGGUGCGUAGGUGGUCGGGUAAGUUUGAUGUGAAAUCUCCAAGCUCAACUUGGAAACUGCAUUGAAUACUAUUCGGCUCGAGGGUUGGAGAGGAGACUGGAAUUCUCGGUGUAGCAGUGAAAUGCGUAGAUAUCGAGAGGAACACCGGUGGCGAAGGCGAGUCUCUGGACAACUCCUGACACUGAGGCACGAAAGCUAAGGGAGCAAACAGG
rnacentral:rRNA from 1 species